CAAGAAAUAGUUUUAAAUAGAAUUAUAACUUUGGGAGUUAUAGGUAUAAGUAAAAGUCUUAUUUUUUUGA
rnacentral:tRNA from 1 species